GAGGAGCUUGCUCCUUCGACGUUAGCGGCGGACGGGUGAGUAACACGUAGGUAACCUACCUAUAAGACUGGGAUAACUUCGGGAAACCGGAGCUAAUACCGGAUAAUAUUUCGAACCGCAUGGUUCGAUAGUGAAAGAUGGCUUUGCUAUCACUUAUAGAUGGACCUGCGCCGUAUUAGCUAGUUGGUAAGUGAACGGCUUACCAAGGCAACGAUACGUAGCCGACCUGAGAGGGUGAUCGGCCACACUGGAACUGAGACACGGUCCAGACUCCUACGGGAGGCAGCAGUAGGGAAUCUUCCGCAAUGGGCGAAAGCCUGACGGAGCAACGCCGCGUGAGUGAUGAAGGUCUUCGGAUCGUAAAACUCUGUUAUUAGGGAAGAA
rnacentral:rRNA from 1 species